rnacentral:lncRNA from 1 species
GAGGGCAACAAGAAGUUCGAGACCCUCUCCUACCUGCCACCUCUCUCCACGGACGAGGUCCUAAAGCAGAUCGACUACCUGAUCCGGAAGAACUGGAUUCCCUGCCUCGAGUUCAGCAAGAUCGGGUUCGUCUAUCGUGAGAACAGCACGUCUCCCUGUUACUACGACGGGCGCUACUGGACCAUGUGGAAGCUGCCCAUGUUCGGCUGCACCGAGGCCACCCAGGUGUACGCUGAGUUCGAGGAGUGCAAGAAGGCCUACCCCGACUGUUACAUCCGUAUCAUCGGCUUCGACAACAUCAAGCAGGUGCAGUGCGUCAUGUUCAUCGCCUACAAGCCCCCAGGCUCCGAGUAAGACCGGCGGCGCCAAAUAAGCUUAUCGCGCGGACCGCUCGCUCGUGAGCGACCGUGGAUGAAGUGUCUACUCGGUUUUGGCAACUUAAUUAUUUGACGCUCUGUUUAAAGUCGCCUGCUUGUUAAUUCCCUUUCUUUUCGUGUUUCCGUCCUGUGUGUAUGUACGAAUGUACAUGUAUCAACGUAGGCUGAGGAGCAUGCAUAUGUGAAUGCUAGCGCCGGCUAAACUUAUACGCAUACACAUCGUAAUAUAUUGUAUACGCAAUUCCUCCA